AUACGGAGGAUGCAAGCGUUAUCCGGAUUUAUUGGGUUUAAAGGGUGCGUAGGCGGAUGAUUAAGCGUGAGGUGAAAUGCCACUGCUCAACAGUGGAACUGCCUCGCGAACUGGUUGUCUUGAAUGCUCCUGCCGUGGGAGGAAUGUGUGGUGUAGCGGUGAAAUGCAUAGAGAUCACACAGAACACCGAUUGCGAAGGCAUCUACCGAAGUGGUACUUAACCCAGAGGCCCGACCGCGACGGGAUCAAACAGGAUUAGAUUCCCUGGUAGUCCACGCGGUAUAGGAUGAGAAAUAAACCCUGGGUAGUAGUGAUUCAGUGGUCAAGGGAAAGCGAUAAGUUAUCGCCCUGGGGCGCUCGAUAGCACGGUGGAAACUCACAUGAAAAAGUGUUG
rnacentral:rRNA from 1 species